UGCAAGUCGAGCGGAAACGACACUAACAAUCCUUCGGGUGCGUUAAUGGGCGUCGAGCGGCGGACGGGUGAGUAAUGCCUAGGAAAUUGCCUUGAUGUGGGGGAUAACCAUUGGAAACGAUGGCUAAUACCGCAUAAUGCCUACGGGCCAAAGAGGGGGAUCUUCGGACCUCUCGCGUCAAGAUAUGCCUAGGUGGGAUUAGCUAGUUGGUGAGGUAAUGGCUCACCAAGGCGACGAUCCCUAGCUGGUCUGAGAGGAUGAUCAGCCACACUGGAACUGAGACACGGUCCAGACUCCUACGGGAGGCAGCAGUGGGGAAUAUUGCACAAUGGGC
rnacentral:rRNA from 1 species